rfam:Acanthamoeba castellanii str. Neff unplaced genomic scaffold scf7180000084747, whole genome shotgun sequence.
AUACGUACCUUGCUGGAAAGGUCUGCGAUCACGAAGGCGGACCUUUUAGACACUACCCCCUUCCAUUGCACGUCGGUUGUGCGUGGUAGUGGCUACUGCUGCCCCACGGGGUAAGCAGACAGCAUAAUUUGUGGUCGAGUGGAUGGUGCGCUCGUCGCCUGUCCACG